GAUGAACGCUGGCGGCGUGCCUAAUACAUGCAAGUCGAGCGAACGGACGAGAAGCUUGCUUCUCUGAUGUUAGCGGCGGACGGGUGAGUAACACGUGGAUAACCUACCUAUAAGACUGGGAUAACUUCGGGAAACCGGAGCUAAUACCGGAUAAUAUUUUGAACCGCAUGGUUCAAAAGUGAAAGACGGUCUUGCUGUCACUUAUAGAUGGAUCCGCGCUGCAUUAGCUAGUUGGUAAGGUAACGGCUUACCAAGGCAACGAUGCAUAGCCGACCUGAGCGGGUGAUCGGCCACACUGGAACUGAGACACGGUCCAGACUCCUACGGGAGGCAGCAGUAGGGAAUCUUCCGCAAUGGGCGAAAGCCUGACGGAGCAACGCCGCGUGAGUGAUGAAGGUCUUCGGAUCGUAAAACUCUGUUAUUAGGGAAGAACAUAUGUGUAAGUAACUGUGCACAUCUUGACGGUACCUAAUCAGAAAGCCACGGCUAACUACGUGCCAGCAGCCGCGGUAAUACGUAGGUGGCAAGCGUUAUCCGGAAUUAUUGGGCGUAAAGCGCGCGUAGGCGGUUUUUUAAGUCUGAUGUGAAAGCCCACGGCUCAACCGUGGAGGGUCAUUGGAAACUGGAAAACUUGAGUGCAGAAGAGGAAAGUGGAAUUCCAUGUGUAGCGGUGAAAUGCGCAGAGAUAUGGAGGAACACCAGUGGCGAAGGCGACUUUCUGGUCUGUAACUGACGCUGAUGUGCGAAAGCGUGGGGAUCAAACAGGAUUAGAUACCCUGGUAGUCCACGCCGUAAACGAUGAGUGCUAAGUGUUAGGGGGUUUCCGCCCCUUAGUGCUGCAGCUAACGCAUUAAGCACUCCGCCUGGGGAGUACGACCGCAAGGUUGAAACUCAAAGGAAUUGACGGGGACCCGCACAAGCGGUGGAGCAUGUGGUUUAAUUCGAAGCAACGCGAAGAACCUUACCAAAUCUUGACAUCCUUUGACAACUCUAGAGAUAGAGCUUUCCCCUUCGGGGGACAAAGUGACAGGUGGUGCAUGGUUGUCGUCAGCUCGUGUCGUGAGAUGUUGGGUUAAGUCCCGCAACGAGCGCAACCCUUAAGCUUAGUUGCCAUCAUUAAGUUGGGCACUCUAAGUUGACUGCCGGUGACAAACCGGAGGAAGGUGGGGAUGACGUCAAAUCAUCAUGCCCCUUAUGAUUUGGGCUACACACGUGCUACAAUGGACAAUACAAAGGGCAGCGAAACCGCGAGGUCAAGCAAAUCCCAUAAAGUUGUUCUCAGUUCGGAUUGUAGUCUGCAACUCGACUACAUGAAGCUGGAAUCGCUAGUAAUCGUAGAUCAGCAUGCUACGGUGAAUACGUUCCCGGGUCU
rnacentral:rRNA from 1 species